AGCUCCAAUAGCGUAUAUUAAAGUUGUUGCAGUUAAAAAGCUCGUAGUUGGAUCUGAGGACUAGAGAUGAUGGUGCGAUAACUUCGUAACUGUUAUCUCUGCCUAAAAAGGCGGUGCUAGGCUUUGGUGCUCUUCAUUGAGUGCCUCUGCUGCCCGUCAAGUUUACUUUGAAAAAAUUAGAGUGCUCAAAGCAGGCGCUUUGCCUGAAUAAUGGUGCAUGGAAUAAUGGAAUAAGAUCUUCGGAUCUAUUUUGUUGGUUUUCGGAAGCCGAGAUAAUGAUUAAGAGAGACAGACGGGGGCAUUCGUAUUGUGGUGUUAGAGGUGAAAUUCUUGGAUCGCCGCAAGACGAACAACUGCGAAAGCAUUUGCCAAGCAUGUUUUCAUUAAUCAAGAACGAAAG
rnacentral:rRNA from 1 species